CCCAUGGUGAGGGGAGAGAAGGCA
rnacentral:piRNA from 1 species